UACGAAGGUGGCAAGCGUUGUUCGGAUUCACUGGGCGUACAGGGUGUGUAGGCGGUUUGGUAAGCCUUCUGUUAAAGCUUCGGGCCCAACCCGGAAAGCGCAGAGGGUACUGCCAGGCUAGAGGACGGGAGAGGAGCGCGGAAUUCCCGGUGUAGCGGUGAAAUGCGCAGAUAUCAGGAAGAACACCAAUGGCGAAGGCAGCUCUCUGGGACGGUACUGACGCUGAGGCGCGAAAGCCAGGGGAGCAAACGGG
rnacentral:rRNA from 1 species